rnacentral:rRNA from 1 species
AAGACCUUGCGCUUUUGGAGCGGCCGAUGCCUGAUUAGCUUGUUGGUAAGGUAAAAGCUUACCAAGGCUUCGAUCAGUAGCUGGUCUGAGAGGACGGCCAGCCACACUGGGACUGAGACACGGCCCAGACUCCUACGGGAGGCAGCAGUGGGGAAUUUUGGACAAUGGGGGCAACCCUGAUCCAGCCAUGCCGCGUGAGUGAAGAAGGCCUUCGGGUUGUAAAGCUCUUUCAGCCGGAACGAAACGGUUACGGUUAAUACCCGUGAUUACUGACGGUACCGGAAGAAGAAGCACCGGCUAACUACGUGCCAGCAGCCGCGGUAAUACGUAGGGUGCGAGCGUUAAUGGGAAUUACUGGGCGUAAAGCGUGCGCAGGUGGUUUUGUAAGUCAGAUGUGAAAGCCCCGGGCUCAACCUGGGAACU